UAGUAGCAGUAGCAGUACUGCAACCCUAUCUAAUUUUGCUUUACUGCAGCUACGGUAGUUGAUUCCGAAACGCACCCUGUAUUAUCGAAUCUGGCGUUUUAUUCUGUCUGUUUGUAUGUGUGUUUACAAUAUUAGUUCAUUUUUUCAUGAAAAAAAACAUUAAAUUGAACAACAUAAUUGUUGAUGAAGGAUUAAUCAUCCUAUUUGUACCUGUGCGGGAAAUAGAAAUACAUAUCUGCAUUGUGAUACAGGACAUUGGCAUAAGGGAAAUCAUUAGCCCCGAAGAUUCUGACAGCUCGAAAGACGUUAUGUUUGAUGAAAGAUUGUUAAAAGGAACAUUCUUGCAAUAAUCUUCGAUCGAAAGCAUUGACAAUCACUGCAAUCCCUGUGAGAAGGCUGUGUGUAACUGAGUGAGGUAAUAAUUAGAGAUGCGCAUUCUUUUUGGAUCAAUGCCAGGAAAUCUUCAAGCAUUACACCCUCCAAUAGACUGAAUACUUUGGUCUCCGUAUAAUUCCCAUCAACAGCACAAGAAGAGAUACAAUUGAUGAUUUAUUAAAAUGAAAGGGAUUAUGAAGAGGUUUGAGAGUAGAAUACUGGUGAUAAGAAGGUCUUGAGUCCUGUGCAAAAGUAGUAACGAUUAUACACUGAACCUCAAGGAGACUCAAUUGACAUGGGCAGUUCUCUAUCAGAAUGCUAUAUAUCAGUCUCACUGGAUCUACAACUGUCUGAAGGAACCCGAGGGGUUAAUGAUUCACCGGCACAGCGAUGAGCAUGCCCUACUUGAGGUUCAUCUUGCUCCAGAGAUAAAUGUCCUUGUUUUGUUGGGGACUUUGAUUGAUGAAACCGUGGAUUCCCGAAUCGAGCGGAACCUGAUGGGGAACUCUGCAGGAUUUAAAAAGCGAAGAACAGCUGAAGGGACAGUAGGAGAAUGGGCCCUACAGUUCUACUACAAAUGGUUAUUGUACUUUCAAAAUGAAUUAUUCGUAUCAGUUUCGAUGAAUUUUCAGUUUUGCUAUCAAUAUAAAAGAAAAGCAGCGAAAACUAUCGACAUUCUGUCCUGACAAUCCAUCAUUGAGUCGCUUUGGAUUCAAGCGCUUGCAGGAUACGCUAAAGUAUCAUCCAAAACUCUGGAAUGUGAAGUGUCCUUGUGGAGCAGUUAGGCAUGAGGAAAAUGUUUCUAAUUAUCAUGUAUAUCUGGAGCUAGAUUGCAGAGAGAGAGCAACCGAUCCUGGUCGUACUUGCAAGUUCUACGAUCUGCCUAUAUCUUUGAACUUGAGCAGAGAAUACAGACUAGCUGGAGUCGUCUCAUACGAUGCGAAUUAUGAUCAUUUCGUGGCCUACUGUUGCCGUCGUACUGGAACGUGGGAGUACCAUGAUGGACUACUCAGUAAAGUAAAACCUGUGAAAGGAAAUCCGGUGAUACAACCUGAAUGUGCCUUGUAUCUGAUUAAUCAGUGAGCAGGAACGUUCACUACGCUCAACAUUUCAGUUUUCUGUGUCGCCAAAGCUAGUUCUUUAUCUUAAGUAUAUUAGUUAUAAUAUGAUUCUUAUCGAAUGUUAUUUGCUGAAAUAAAGAUUUUA